rnacentral:rRNA from 1 species
CUACGGGAGGCAGCAGUGGGGAAUAUUGGACAAUGGGUGUAAGCCUGAUCCAGCCAUGCCGCGUGCAGGAAGAAGGCCUUCUGGGUUGUAAACUGCUUUUGCCGGGGGAUAAAAAGGCCAUGCGUGGCAGAUUGAAGGUACCCGGUGAAUAAGCCACGGCUAACUACGUGCCAGCAGCCGCGGUAAUACGUAGGUGGCAAGCGUUGUCCGGAUUUAUUGGGUUUAAAGGGUGCGUAGGCGGUCCUGUAAGUCAGUGGUGAAAUACGGCAGCUCAACUGUCGAGGUGCCAUUGAUACUGCGGGACUUGAGUACAGACGAGGUAGGCGGAAUUGACGGUGUAGCGGUGAAAUGCAUAGAUAUCGUCAAGAACACCGAUAGCGAAGGCAGCUUACUAGAUUGUAACUGACGCUGAUGCACGAAAGUGCGGGGAUCAAACAGGAUUAGAUACCCCGGUAGUCCC